CUGGCGCUCAUUAUUUGUAGACAAGCACGAACUGCGUGAACGUUGAUCAGUCGUCGCUAUAAUCCGCGCGACAGUAUUUUCGUGGAAGUGAUCCUCAAAUUUCGGAAUAUUUCAUUUGUUGUAGUGUUUCUCGAAUUCUGGAAUAUCCCUAGGACGAGGAAUGGAAUAUACAAACAAAGGCUUUGUUAUCGUUCUGCUCUGCAUGAAAUGUUUUCUCAUUCGAGCGACUGUCGGUAAAGCGAAGGAAGAACGCCAGGACAUUUACACAUCAACUGUGCUGAUAGACAAGUUAUUUGGCUUCGACAGGACUGUUGGAAAAACCCUACAGUUGCUCUCAACCCGUGAUGAACAAGUUGAAAGCUAUUUGCUGUCCUACAACUGGCUGGUUGCCGACCUCAGAAGCAGGAGAAAUGAUGUCCCUCGUUCUGCAGUAACUGGUCACACGCUCCACGUUUAUACUCUGAUUAAAAGGAUGGUCAUUCAUUAUCCGAGUAUACGCGCCAUCUUUAAUUCCAUCCUUGAGAAUGACGAUGGCGGUUGCGAAGACAGAGUUAACGUCUGCAGUUUCAUGAAACUCCAGUCUUUUUGCGA